AGAUCUUUUGGCGUUGGGGUGACACAGGAUUCUAGAAAAAAAUAGCUCGAAGCACAAAAAUUAAUUUUAUACUGAAGAAAUUAAGUUCGAGAGGAAACCAGUUUUUGCUCAUUCGUAACUAGAAUUCUCCGAUUUGGAGCAGCAGACCAUCCUGUUCUAAGACAUCGUCUGCAGUACUCAAUGACAUUAUAUAUGUAUAAAACAAUAGGCGAUGGAGCCUUGCGUCUGUAACGGUGCGUUGCAGCGGUCUCCGCCGUCUGUCAACACCGCAAUUUUGGCAACAACAACAACAACAACCAUUCUAGAUAUUGUUGCUGGAACACCCACAGUUGCAACCAGCAACAACAACAACGGGAGCGAAAGUCCUCCGGCAACCGAGGCUGUCCAGAAAUCCGGCAACACGGGCAACUUCUCCGGAAAAAAAUCGACAGGGGACGAGGGAAAGGAUAAAAAUGAUACAGUGGUAAAUGAUAUAGGGGCAAAUGAUACAGUGGUAAGUGAUAUUGGAAUAAAUGACACAG